rnacentral:lncRNA from 1 species
GCGCGGCCCCGCGCAGCCGCCCGGCGUGCGCGCCCCGCGACCGCGCCCGGCGCCUGGGAGCUGCGGAGAGCUGCUCGCCGGCGCGAGGUGAGUGGGGGAAGCCCUGGGCGACGGAGAGCUCGCCGAGACCUGGCCGGCCCAGGUGGGGGUGCCUGCGGACGGCGGGGCGUGACCCUGCGGGCCACGGGAGGGGCCGGAGGGGAGACGUUCCGGCGGGAGGCUGGGACGGGGGGGAGCGUCCAGGAUUUAAGAAGGGUCCGCUGAUGAGACCCGCAGCGAGAGGGAGGAAGGCGACGAGCGACGGCAGAGGCGAGCCCCCCAGAGUAACCAAUGAUGUCACUUCAAUGUGUUUUAGACCUAUGCCGUCUGGUAGGACCACACGUGGCUACUGAGUGCUUGAAAUGUAGCUGGCCCAAAUUGAGAUGUGCUGUAAGUGUAAAAUACACAUUACAUUUCAAAGAUUUAAUAGGAAAAAAUGUAAAAUAUCGUAUUUUUUUUUGUAUUGAUCACAUGUUGAAAUAAUGUUUUGUAUAUUGGGUUAAAUAAAAUAUAUUAUUAAAUUUAAUUUUGCCUGUUUUUUUCUUUUUAAUGUAGACUACUAGAAAAUAUAAAAUCACAUAUACAGCUUGCAACAUAUUUCUAUCGAACAGUACUGGUCUGGAUUUUUUUAAUUGUUUUAUUUUUUUAUUAUUUUUUAAAGAUUUUAUUUAUUUAUUCUUCAGAGACACGCACAGAGAGAGAGGCAGAGACAUAGGCAGAGGGGGAAGCAGGCUCCAUACAGUAAGCCUGAUGUGGGACUCAAUCCCGGGUCUCCAGGAUCAUAUCCCUGGCUGCAGGCGGCGCUAAACCGCUGCACCACUGGGGCUGCCCUGGAUUUUUUUUUUUUUUUUUUUUAAUUUAUGACAACAUUUUAUUUUAUUUUUUACCUAAGCUCUAUGGCCAACAUGGGGCUUAAACUCAACCCCAAGAUCAAGAGUUGUAAUGCUCUACCAACUGAGCCAGCCAAAGGUCUCUUGGUCCUUUUUUUUUUUUUUUUUUUAAGUAUAGUUGACACAAAAUGUUGUAUUAGUUUCAGGUGUACAACAUAAUGAUUCCACAACUCUAUACACUGUCUAGACUUUUCUAUGCAUCAAUAUGUAUCCAUAGAAAUAGUUGUUAUAAAACAAAAGGAAUCAUUCUGUGCUUGUUAAUUUGUAGCAUUCUUUUUUUCAUUUAAUACAUCUUAGAAGAGGGCGGGUGGCAACCCGGGUGGCUCAGCAGUUUAGCGCCUGCCUUCAGCCCAGGGUGUGAUCCUGGAGUCCCAGGAUCAAGUCCCACCACCGGCUCCCUGUGUGGAGCCUGCUUCUCCUUCUGCCUGUGUCUCUGCCUCUUUCUCUCUCCCUGUGUCUCUCAUGAGUAAAUAAAUAAAAUCUUAAAAAAAAUACAUCUUAGAAGGCAUUCUACAUGAGCUCUGCUAGUAGGAAGAUGAUAACUCCAAAUGACAUACAGUAUGUUAUCUGGUAGGAGUAGAUCAUAAUUUACUUAACCAUUCCCCUAUAUUGAACAUUUAAUACAUUUCUAGUUUUUCCAUCAUUAAUAGUAUUACAAUGGACAGCCUAUACAUUUACCAUUUUCCUUUCAUACUUGCCAGCAUUUUUCCAGGUUAAAAACAUCUGGGGCACCUGGCUGGCUCAGUGGGUGAAGCAUGCAACUCUUAAUCUCAGGAUUGUGGGCUCACACACACAUGGGGGGUAGAGAUCACUUUUUUAAAAAUCUUUUUAAAAAUUAGUGUUUUCAGGGAUCCCUGGGUGGCGCAGCGGUUUGGCGCCUGCCUUUGGCCCAGGGCGCGAUCCUGGAGACCCGGGAUCGAAUCCCACAUCGGGCUCCUGGUGCAUGGAGCCUGCUUCUCCCUCUGCCUGUGUCUCUGCGCCUCUCUCUCUCUCUCUGUGAGACUAUCAUAAAUAAAUAAAAAUUUAAAAAAUUAAAAAAAAAAUUAGUGUUUUCGGGAAUCCCUGGGUGGCGCAGCGGUUUGGCGCCUGCCUUUGGCCCAGGGCGCGAUUCUGGAGACCCGGGAUCGAAUCCCACAUCGGGCUCCCGGUGCAUGGAGCCUGCUUCUCCCUCUGCCUAUGUCUCUGUCUUUCUCUCUCUCUGUGACUAUCAUAAAUAAAUAAAAAAUUUUAAAAAAUUUAAAAAAAAUAAAAAUUAGUGUUUUCUUAAAAGCAAAGAUAAAUUUAUAAAAGAUGAGUUUUGGAAAAGCUGGAGGUGUUUGAUUUGUUAUGGCCUGAAUCCAUG